CUCAGUUGGUCUUUAUCAAGCAGUAUAAAGCAGUUCCCUGCUUGAUAAAGACCAACUGAGGUCGAAACGUCGCUGUAUACUGGCUGCUUGAGUGAAUAAAUCACCACUAUUUUCAUCAUUUACCGGCGAGUGCUGCGGAUUAUUGAAUUAUUUAGAAAAAUUUAUA